rnacentral:lncRNA from 1 species
AAAUCAAAAUGAAGACCUUACCUUCCCAGGAACCUUGAUCCAUAUACCCAUUCUUGUUUAACUUUAUUUGAACCCCAUUUUCAUAAUAAAAACUCUUCAGCUUAGGGAAAACCUAGUGGUAUGUGGAUAGGUGAGAAGGCCCUAAGGUGAAGGACCCGACAUCUCAUAUAAGGCUAACGUUCCACUCUGUGAGACUAAAUUCAUUCCAUGCACUUGUCCGUUCUUUUAUACAUAUGUGGGAUGUUUUUGCUCAUCUUCUUUCCUCACAUAUGGAGGUAAAAUGAUAAACACAAUCUCUGAGUGAUUUUAUUUUUGAGUGUAUAUCUGGUGAGGCUGAACUCGAAGCAAGUUUUCUGAUUGUGACUUAGGAUUGUAAGCUGCUUUAUACACACACACACACCCACACCUGCCGUCUGAAUGCAUUUUGAAUCGUUAUGCUUAUUUUCAUGCAUUUGUAGUAAGUUACCAUAUAUGAACGGCUUUGCAAUACUUGUCCUCAAUGGGAAGAAGCUUGUUGGUAAGAUGUUGGUCUAACAUUCACUGAUAGUCCAAUCUUUUUAAUAGCUAGAAAAUGCACAUGAGACGCUUUCAAGUUUAUGCUAAUUUUGUUUGCCGUUUCUUAUUUUUCAGAUGUAACUGGGUUGUUCUGAAUGUUUCUCCUACCUUAAGCAUUCGGAAAAAAGUUAGACAAUGAAUCUAUACCUAAGCGUGACAUAACCAUAGUGUUAAAGCUAAUCCUUAGUGUAGACUAGCCCAUGUUUAGCACAUGUUAUUUCUGUGAAUAUUUCCUAUAUCUACUAUAUAUGGUCUAUAAUAUAUGCCAAAUAUAUGAUAUAU